rnacentral:snoRNA from 1 species
CCCCUCGGGAUGCCUUCUUCUAAACAGAUCUAAACACUGGUCUGAGUGGUUACAAAGCGGGGAGGGUAACAGUGAAGCUGAUUCAAUGCUUCUGUAGCACAUGGGCUAGUUUCUAACAAUG